UAAUACGUAGGGGGCUAGCGUUGUCCGGAAUCAUUGGGCGUAAAGCGCGCGUAGGCGGCCCGGUAAGUCCGCUCUGAAAGUCCAGGGCUCAACCCUGGAAAGCGGGUGGAUACUGCCGGGCUAGAAUCCGGAAGAGGCGAGUGGAAUUCCUGGUGUAGCGGUGGAAUGCGCAGAUAUCAGGAGGAACACCAAUAGCGAAGGCA
rnacentral:rRNA from 1 species